ACAGAAUUUCUAGGCGCAGCCAGGGGCCGGAGGGGGUCUGGUUUGGGGACCACAGGACAGCAUCUCUGCUUUUUGCAGAUGAUGUUGUCCUGUUGGCUUCAUCGGGCCAGGACCUCCAGCGUGCGCUGGGGCAGUUUGCAGCUGAGUAUGAAGCGGCUGGGAUGAGAAUCAGUUCCUCCAAAUCUGAGGCCAUGGUUCUCGAUCGGAAAAAGGUGGUUUGCUCUCUCCAGGUUGGAGGAGAGUUCCUGCCCCAAGUGGAGGAGUUGAAGCAUCUUGGGGUCUUGUCACGAGUGAGGGAAGGAGGGAGCGUGAGUUUGACAGACAGAUUGGUGCGGCGGCUGCAGUAAUGCGGUCGGUGUAUCGGUCCGUCUUGGUGAAGAGGGAGCUGAGCCGAAAGGCAAAGCUCUCAAUUUACCGGUCAAUCUACAUUCCUACCCUCACCUAUGGUCAUGAGCUUUGGGUCAUGACCUAAAGGGCAAGGUCACGGAUAUAAGCGACCGAAAUGAGCUUUUAUUCUUUUUUUGCACGUAAAAAAAGGUUAGGGGAAAAGUUGGAAUUCAUUUGUUCCUGUUGACAUGAAUGGAAGCCUGUCACGUUUGAACGUAUGUUCUCUCUAAGAUGAGCACACACACUUUUUCUUACACUAUGAAUCCUGUGGUGACCAGUGGUCAAUGCUACCACUGUACAUUUGUAAAGAACUAAUUUUACUAAUCUGAUUAUAAUGCAGAGGUUUGGACUAAAACUAAAAUGUUGCUCUUGAGAUUUAGCUUCUAGCUAAAAACAAACUGACUAGUUGUAGUGAGGUCACACACUCUAUUCUCUGACAUCAUCUCUUCGGGUCACAUGACCAAGCAAAAUAUCAGAUUUACUGAGCCUGAGUGUGUGAGCCUAGUCUUUAGUGGAGUCUCAACUUUCUGGAGUUCCACCUCCUCCUUCCUCUUCACUGCAUCUGUGAUGUUGAUCCAUGUGAAGGUUGAAGUACAAUCAGCAGCUCAUCCGUGUGUGGGGAAGCGCUGACGCAUGCUGCUGAACGGCGGUGGGCUACAUAACUUUGGGGGAUUAAAACCACAGAACAAUCAGAGGCUCGUUUUCACUCUGGCUCACUGCUACAUGACAGGACAAAACAAAACCACAGAGCAAUAUGUGAGAGACAAAGCAGACACGGGGCUCUGGCUCAGCCAUUUAAUCACUGGGAGGCAGGGCCGUUCAAUUACACAUCCAUCCAACUGGGCAACGGGAGCGCAGCAGGUAAUCACCAAAACAAAUGGAUGCGUUAAGAAACUAAUAAUCUGCCUCUUCUUUGAUUCUUUUUUAAUGUGGUCUCAUCUGACAGAGUCAAUAAAACAGUGGCAAUAUUUCCUUCUCAUUUUUACUGUAAAAACACAGAUUUAGUUACAUCUCAGUGGACAAAACCAACAUGGCUUCCAGGCCUGUUGCCUUCGGCUUAUUGUUGUGAAAGUCCUGUAAAUAUUAGCAGUCACAGAUUGUUCCAUACGCUAAAGUAGAUCCUUACUAUUCAAUAAAGGAUGAGGCGUGUCCUUAUGCUGAUCUAACGGAUCAUACAUUCACGUGGAGUAUGAUACGGAGCUGAAAAAGGUGAAUAUGGUAUAAUUAAAACAAGUGGAAAUGCUGGAUUUGACCUCAAAUAAGGAAUAAUUCAUGGCUUGUUUUGACUCAAUGAGUCACAGGGGCCAUGGCUCAGCAAGGAAAUCAUGCUGUGCUCAGGAUGAUCAUUUCAUUAUGGGGUGUAAAAUUGAUUUCAGGAAGAUUUGGAGAUGCAUCAGUAAAGAAGAUUUAGGGAAUCAUUUCCUCUAAUGAAGCAGCUUUGCCACAACACUGGACGUAUUUUAAACUGGUCUAUAUGCACAAGAAUGUUAACGGAAGUCAAACCUGGAGGAGAAACCUGUUCCAGUCCUCAGCCCCUUCCUGCCCUUUGUUUGCCUCUGUUCCUGCCCUUGACUCUGGCCACACCUCCUCCCUAUCUUCCCAUCUGCCGCCUGCAACCUGCACUGACUGACUCGUUCCACUGGCCUGUGCCUUCUACAUUCUACCUGCUACAUCGUCAGUGUUGUCAGACCAUAUCACACGUUCCUCCAGUCUUGUGAGCCAGCGUUCCUUGCCAGUAGUGCUUUGUCCUCCCAGUCCCAGUGUUUUAGUCUUUGAAUAUGGCAGUGUUUUUGGUUGUUUUGUUCUGUUAAACAUUUUGCCAGUGUGCCUGUCCUUGGGCCCUCAACCUUUUCAGAAGCAUGCAGCUUCAGUGAGCAUCCAGCUGGUGCCUCACUGAUGUCAGGGAUCAUUUAUUAUUCCUUCUGCUUUAUUUGUAGCCUCCUACUGUUACAUAUUGAGGCAAACUGAACUUGAACUGCGCUGACCAUGAGCAGGGAAACAUCAAACGGUCAAAUCUAGAUUGGAGGACCCAAAUGCAACGACCCAGGGAUAAAAAAAUAGAUACAAAUAGUUUAUUUAAAGCUCCCUGAUCAUACAGCUUUUCACUCUAAAGAAUAUUGGACUUUAAUGUCUCAGUAAGGUCUCUGUAAAUUUUCAUCCCAUAAAACCCUGUAGAUCGUCCACACUGCCCCUGUCAAUAUGUGGUUCUCACUCUCCAUCAGCAAACGCUGUGUUUUCUGGGCGUGUCGCAAGCGAAGCUGCUCACCACACCUCUGUGCGGAAGCGCAUACCUUUUUUGUUGUUGUUGUUUUUUGGCUCCAUGGAUACGAGCCACCGCACGGUUAGGAUACUAUAGGUGGCAGUAGUGCGACGUUGAGAAUACAAUCCACCGCAAUCCUCCACAGAAGAAGACGACCCACUACAGAACUGCACGACGUUAGCCAGCCAGCUAGUUCGUAGCGUAGUAGAACCAUACGUCUACGAUCCCGAAUCUGACCCUGAAGCUGAAGAGGAGGCUGUUGAAGUCGCCACAUUUCGGCUGAUGCAAGAUGUCUCAUUGUUGUUACAGGUAUCUAAUCUACAGAGGCUAGUGGGCUGGUGCUGAGGAUUCCUAGGGUGAAGAAUCCGAGUUGCCAUCUCUUCAUGCUUGGGUUGUAGAUGAAGGCAGAGUUUCCUGAUGGAUAAAACACUAAAACACUCAUUGUAUGAUGGAUGUAAACCACCUGUGGAAUAACUCCUUUACCAUUUGAGUAAAAAUGUGUUUUUUGUGAGUGCAAUACUCAAAGAUUUUUUUUAUUUUUUAUUUAUAUAUAAUUUAUAUGCUUUUUAUUUAUGGCCGCUUCAACUUUAUAGCUUACCAUAUUAGAAAGAGAAAAAACAUGUCAUUUCAAUACCAUGAUUUCCUGAAUAAAAGUGUUUUCCCUUCAGAAA